rnacentral:sRNA from 1 species
GCGUCGGUGUCGGCGGGUAGUCCGCGAA